UAGGGAAUCUUCGGCAAUGGGGGGAACCCUGACCGAGCAACGCCGCGUGAGUGAAGAAGGUUUUCGGAUCGUAAAGCUCUGUUGUUAAGGAAGAACGAGUGUGAGAAUGGAAAGUUCAUACUGUGACGGUACUUAACCAGAAAGGGACGGCUAACUACGUGCCAGCAGCCGCGGUAAUACGUAGGUCCCGAGCGUUGUCCGGAUUUACUGGGCGUAAAGCGAGCGCAGGCGGUUAGAUAAGUCUGAAGUUAAAGGCAGUGGCUCAACCAUUGUAGGCUUUGGAAACUGUUUAACUUGAGUGCAGAAGGGGAGAGUGGAAUUCCAUGUGUAGCGGUGAAAUGCGUAGAUAUAUGGAGGAACACCGGUGGCGAAAGCGGCUCUCUGGUCUGUAACUGACGCUGAGGCUCGAAAGCGUGGGGAGCGAACAGG
rnacentral:rRNA from 1 species